AGCAGCAGCCGCGGUAAUACGUAGGUCCCGAGCGUUGUCCGGAUUUAUUGGGCGUAAAGCGAGCGCAGGCGGUUAGAUAAGUCUGAAGCUAAAGGCUGUGGCUUAACCAUAGUACGCUUUGGAAACUGUUUAACUUGAGUGCAAGAGGGGAGAGUGGAAUUCCAUGUGUAGCGGUGAAAUGCGUAGAUAUAUGGAGGAACACCGGUGGCGAAAGCGGCUCUCUGGCUUGUAACUGACGCUGAGGCUCGAAAGCGUGGGGAGCAAACAGGAUUAGAUACCCGUGUAGUCCCUGUCUCUUAUACA
rnacentral:rRNA from 1 species